GACGAACGCUGGCGGCGUGCUUAACACAUGCAAGUCGAGCGGAGCGGCGAACGGGUGAGUAACGCGUGAGUAACUGCCCCCCUCUCUGGGAUAACAGUUGGAAACGGCUGCUAAUACCGGAUAGUGGGGGAUGACUCGCGUCAUAAAAGCUUGUUGGUGGGGUAGUGGCCUACCAAGGCGACGACGGGUAGCCGGCGUGAGAGGGCGACCGGCCGCAUUGGGCUGGGAAACGGCCCAAACACCUACGGGAGGAAGAAGUGGGGAAGAUUGCACGAUGGGGGAAUCGCUGAUGCAGCAACGCGCGUGCGGGAUGACGGCCUUCGGGUUGUAAGCCGCUUUCAGCCAGGACGGGGUAGUGGCAGAAGAAGAACCGGCUAACCACGUGCAAGAAGCCGCGGUAUAC
rnacentral:rRNA from 1 species